UCUUAAGCACUUCUUUGUCUCUAAUGGCC
rnacentral:piRNA from 1 species